AAGUGUCAAGCUUAGAUUAUUUUAUUAUUUGGCUUUAAAAAUUAGCCUACAACUCUUCCACAUUCAUUCUUAUGGCCGGCCAUAGCAAGAACAAAGGGAGAAAAGAAAGAACAAGAACCCUAGGGUGAAAAUUCAAGAGAAAAUUGGUGGAUUUCAAGUAAUCAAGCAAUCAAAGGUAAAAUUUCUUGAUUUUGACUUGUGAUCUACCUUUUCCAUGCAUUCUUUUGCAUUUUCCAUGGUUAAAUCACAUGAUUUCAUGAUGGGUAUCUUGCUGGCUGAACAUUUAGAGAGAGGUUUUGAUGCUUGAUUUGGUUAGAUUUUAAGAUAUUUUAGUGUUUUUAGUUAGUUAGUGAUGUAUAACAUGAAAAUCAAGCAAGAAAAAUUCAUGUUCUUCCAUCACCCAUCAUUGGCCGAAUUCUCCAUGUGGAAUAUUGAGGAUGAUUUUGAUAUUUAUUUCAAGUGAUUUGAUUAGGAAUUAGUGAUUUAUGGUGUGAGAAUCAAGUAGGGAAAAUUAUAGUGUUGAUGCACCCACCAUGGCCGAAUUUUCCAAGAGAAAAUGUGAGGAUGAUUUUGCCAUAUUUCAAGUUAUUUAAUUUGUGUUUGAUGAUUUGGAGUAUUGGGAGAAAAAUGAAAUUAUUUGGAGUUGAAUUGGACGUAUUGGCCAAUUAAUCAAGUGAUAGAUCGAAUUAAGCCAAUACUGUUUAAUUUAGGUACACAAUUGAAUUUGUGUAGAACACCAUGUUUAGACAAUAAUCUGAAUAAUUUGCAUCCCAUUUCAUACAUUAGUAUAAAGCCUGAAUUGGUUUUAUAACAAUUUAGCACAAUGUAGUAAAUGGCUUAUUGUGCAUUAUGUUUAGGUGGUGAGCAUUCUGGCAAAAGUAAAGAGAUAAUUGUGAGACCUCAACCUCUAUAGGCUUGUAACUAAGCAUAGAUGUAAUAAUACGAGCCAAGGGUAGUUUCGUCAUUUUCUCUAAUAAGCUCUCAAAAGAAAGUUUUUAUGAUAUUUUAAGGUCUAAAUAGGUAUAAGACUGCAUAAAUGAUGUGUACUAAUGAAAACACGAAGAAAACUAGAAGUUUCAACAAUUUUCAUAACAGGGGCAAAAUGGUCAUUUUUCACCUCAGGUUAAGAUUUUAAGUUUUUAUGAAUCCAAGUAUGUUUAGACCAUCAUGGACCUUGUCCCAGUGUCAAAAAAGCAAAAAGAUUGCACAAAGGGUUGCAUGAGAACAAACUAACUAGUCAAGGGCAUUUUCGUAAUUUUAAGGGAAUGGAUAAGAUUGGCUAUAAAUAUCUUUCUUCCAGCAGCUUCUUCUCCCAUUUUUCCAAUAGCUUGUCUUCUUCUUCUUCUUCCCUCUCAAGUUUCUUCAAAACUCCAUGGAAGCUUGAUAUGGAGCUUGCAUAAUUUUCUCUCUCUAACUCUAGUUUUCAUACCUUUGAGCCCUUUUGACUAGAACUCUUUAAUUCUUUCACUCUCUCACUUUAAAACCCUUGAUAAAGCUUAUUUCCAUACUUUCUCUCACUAGUUGGGCAUUCUAGAGAGAGAAAAAAAGAAUUACCCAAUUUAUUUGGAAGCUAUUAGAAGAGAAUUCAACUACAAAGGAACCCUAGGGUGAGUGAUGAACCAAGCUUGAUUUUUAGCUGUGAAUAAUGACUAGUAAUUUAGAUUAAGAGCUGUUUUAUUGUUGAGUAUGUUCAUUACUUUUUUAGUGAUGAAGAUAGUGAACAUAGAUAGCUAUUUAAUGUAGCAAUUAAAAGCUAGCUAAGAGAUAGCUUUUAAGGUUCAUAGUGUGUGAAUUGACCUAUUGUUUUUGCUAAUGUGAUCCCAGGUUCUAAUGAAGUCCCAUCCUUCCAAUUGGAU
rnacentral:lncRNA from 1 species